UGAACAUGAUGAUAUCCACUUCUGGUCCGUGUUUAUGAUGCCCAUGAUCUUUGUGGAAGUUCUGACCCU